UUAGGGUACAGUCAUUAUCUUCCCCUACAAAAGAGCUUUACAACCCAAAGGCCUUCUUCACUCACGCGGCAUCGCUGCAUCAGAGUUUCCUCCAUUGUGCAAGAUUCCCCACUGCUGCCUCCCGUAGGAGUA
rnacentral:rRNA from 1 species